rnacentral:rRNA from 1 species
AUUGAACGCUGGCGGCAGGCCUAACACAUGCAAGUCGAACGAGUGGCGGACGGGUGAGUAAUGUCUGGGAAACUGCCUGAUGGAGGGGGAUAACUACUGGAAACGGUAGCUAAUACCGCAUACCAUCAGAUGUGCCCAGAUGGGCUUAGCUAGUUGGUGGGGUAACGGCGCACCAAGGCGACGCUCGCAAGCUGGUCUGAGAGGUUGACAACCCACACUGGAAUUGAGACACGGUCCAGACUCCUACGGAGGGCAGCAGUGGGGAAUAUUGCACAAUGGGCGCAAGCCUGAUGCACCCAUGCCGCGUGUAUGAAUACGGCCUUCGGGUUGUAAAGUACUUUCAGCGGCGAGGCGUUACCCGCAGAGUAAGCACCGGCUAACUCCGUGCCAGCAGCCGCGGUAAUAC